GAUGAACGCUGGCGGCGUGCCUAAUACAUGCAAGUCGAGCGAACAGACGAGGAGCUUGCUCCUCUGACGUUAGCGGCGGACGGGUGAGUAACACGUGGAUAACCUACCUAUAAGACUGGGAUAACUUCGGGAAACCGGAGCUAAUACCGGAUAAUAUAUUGAACCGCAUGGUUCAAUAGUGAAAGACGGUUUUGCUGUCACUUAUAGAUGGAUCCGCGCCGCAUUAGCUAGUUGGUAAGGUAACGGCUUACCAAGGCAACGAUGCGUAGCCGACCUGAGAGGGUGAUCGGCCACACUGGAACUGAGACACGGUCCAGACUCCUACGGGAGGCAGCAGUAGGGAAUCUUCCGCAAUGGGCAAAAGCCUGACGGAGCAACGCCGCGUGAGUGAUGAAGGUCGUCGGAUCGUAAAACUCUGUUAUUAGGGAAGAACAAAUGUGUAAGUAACUAUGCACGUCUUGACGGUACCUAAUCAGAAAGCCACGGCUAACUACGUG
rnacentral:rRNA from 1 species